rnacentral:rRNA from 1 species
AUUGAACGCUGGCGGCAGGCCUAACACAUGCAAGUCGAGCGAGCGGCGGACGGGUGAGUAAUGUCUGGGAAACUGCCCGAUAGAGGGGGAUAACUACUGGAAACGGUGGCUAAUACCGCAUACUAUCGGAUGAACCCAUAUGGGAUUAGCUAGUAGGUGGGGUAAAGGCUCACCUAGGCGACGAUCCCUAGCUGGUCUGAGAGGAUGAUCAGGCCCACUGGGACUGGGACACGGCCCAGAAUCCCACGGGAGGCAGCAGGUGGGAAUAUUGCACAAUGGGCGCAAGCCUGAUGCAGCCAUGCCGCGUGUAAUAAGGAGGCCUUAGGGUUGUAAAGGACUUUCAGCGGGGAGGCGGUACCCGCAGAAGAAGCACCGGCUAACUCCGUGCCAGCAGCCGCGGGUAUUC